rnacentral:rRNA from 1 species
CAGGUCUUGACAUCCCGAUGCUAUUUCUAGAGAUAGAAAGUUACUUCGGUACAUCGGUGACAGGUGGUGCAUGGUUGUCGUCAGCUCGUGUCGUGGGAUGUUGGGUUAAGUCCCGCAACGAGCGCAACCCCUAUUGUUAGUUGCCAUCAUUCAGUUGGGCACUCUAGCGAGACUGCCGGUAAUAAACCGGAGGAAGGUGGGGAUGACGUCAAAUCAUCAUGCCCCUUAUGACCUGGGCUACACACGUGCUACAAUGGUUGGUACAACGAGUUGCGAGUCGGUGACGGCGAGCUAAUCUCUUAAAGCCAAUCUCAGUUCGGAUUGUAGGCUGCAACUCGCCUACAUGAAGUCGGAAUCGCUAGUAAUCGCGGAUCAGCACGCCGCGGUGAAUACGUUCCCGGGCCUUGUACACACCGCCGUCGACGCGGCCGAGUCGUGGAGG